rnacentral:rRNA from 1 species
GAUGAACGCUGGCGGCGUGCUUAACACAUGCAAGUCGAACGAUGAAGGGAGCUUGCUCCUGGAUUAGUGGCGAACGGGUGAGUAACACGUGAGUAACCUGCCCUUGACUCUGGGAUAAGCCUGGGAAACUGGGUCUAAUACCGGAUAUGACCUUCCAUCGCAUGGUGGUUGGUGGAAAGCUUUUGUGGUUUUGGAUGGACUCGCGGCCUAUCAGCUUGUUGGUGGGGUAAUGGCCUACCAAGGCGACGACGGGUAGCCGGCCUGGGCGGGUGGCCGGCCACACUGGGACUGAGACACGGCCCAGACUCCGACGGGAGGCAGCAGUGGUGAAUAUUGGACAAUGGGCGCAGGCCUGAUGCAGCGACGCCGCGUGAGGGAUGACGGCCUUCGGGUUGUAAACCUCUUUCAGUAGGGAAGAAGCCGCAAGGUGACGGUACCUGCAGAAGAAGCGCCGGCUAACUACGUGCCAGCCGCCGCGGUAACAC